GUGCUCACUUCAGCAGCACAUAUAGUAAAAUUGGAACAACACAGAAAAGGUUAGCAUGGCCCCUGCGCAAGGAUGACACGCGGAUUCGUGAAGCAUUCCAUAUUUUU
ensembl:snRNA U6 U6 spliceosomal RNA